rnacentral:rRNA from 1 species
UACGUAUGGUGCAAGCGUUAUCCGGAUUUACUGGGUGUAAAGGGUGCGUAGGCGGCAUGGCAAGUCAGAAGUGAAAACUAUGGGCUUAACCCAUAGACUGCUUUUGAAACUGUCAAGCUAGAGUAUGGGAGAGGAAAGCGGAAUUCCUAGUGUAGCGGUGAAAUGCGUAGAUAUUAGGAGGAACACCAGUGGCGAAGGCGGCUUUCUGGACCAAAACUGACGCUGAGGCACGAAAGCGUGGGGAGCAAAC